UUGGCGGUGGCGGCCGCGUAGGCAUCUCCCUCCCUGCGCGCCGCCUGACAGCCUGGGAGAGAAGCGCCCUCAGGGAGACAUGUUGGGCUGCGUUUCUCUUCAUCCACCCAUCCCUCCGUUCAUGACAUGCUGCUCCAUUAUCUUCUUGGGCUUGCUGCUAGGGAAACCCCAGGACCUUAUAAUCCAUAGGCAGAAGAGACCCAUAGAUGAUUGUCCUCUGGAAUCUUCCAAAAGAGUCUGGGAAGCUUCUCCAGAGACUGGGGACACCAAAGGAUUGGAAGACAGGAGGUGAGACAGCAGAGGCAUGGCGAUGAUCCACACUUUGCCCAAGGUCACAGGUUGGAUACAGCAGAGCUGGAUUGGAGUCUCGGUUACCUGGAACAACCUGGUUAAGUCAGUCUCACCCAAAGGUUUCAAGUGCAAAGCCCUGGCCUUCCACCGUCUUCCCAUAACCCAGGUCUGUAUCCUGUCCCUUCCCUCCCCUGCACCUGGCAUUGCACAGAAGGUGUGGGUGGCAAUGUCCCCUAAAAGCUUUUGCAAGGCUUAGCUUCCUGCUGUGCCGUCUGUACCUCUGUGAGUAAAGGCAAAAUGUCAAGAAAAGGAUUCAAUUGUCUUGUAUCUAAAACCAGGUAUUUUCUUUCAGGUAACCCUGAAAAUUCAGAGAUUCAUAAUUUGAUCAUCUAUGUAUUUUUUCCCAGGAAAGGCACUGAACGGGUUACAUGUGCAGAUCUUUGGAUAUAAUCUAUUGGAGAAAGGAUCUGGCUGAUGAUGCCAGCACCUAGCACAAGCCCUGGAUGAGAAUAAUGGGGCACUACAAGAUGAACAGAGAGAGGGAUUGGCGGUGGGCGGAGGGAAGGGAUGCAAACAAUUAUGGCCAAGAAGUCACCUUAGGGGAAAAACCUAAGAAGAAUUUUGUCUUGCAAAAGAGAAGGAAGCCUAUAGAGAGAGUGGAAGUGGGCGUGAGGGGAGAGGCUGAAAGAGAGACAGAGGGAAAAAGGACAAAGGAGGACAGGAAAAUAGCCAAUAAAGCAGACACGAGAAAAAGGGAGAGAUGAGAGAGAAACAGGAGAGGACAAGGAGACAAGAAGCAGAGAGGCAAGGGACAGGGGCAGCAAUGGAACUCAGAGAGGACAUGGGAGCGAGCUGGAGGAAGCUGACAGAGGGAAGGGAAGAACACGCCCCGCCGCCGUCAAAGGCAGGACUCAAGAACGCUGCCCUUCGUGGAAGUGAGAUGGGCCCCGCUGCCUGCGCCCGCUUGCUCUCAGUCUUGGCCGACCUGAGCGCGCGUCUCUCCCGGGCUCUCAGGCGGCGCACAGGGAGGAGGUGCAGACGCCGCCCCCACCGCCCAGCCCAGCGCGCGGCUCUGAACUUGGCGCCAGCGCCCUGAGGACACCAAGUCCCGCCUUCCUGGCUGCACCCGCCUUCGGGGCGGGGCUUGCAGUUGGGCGGCCCCGGCGGGUAGGGCGCCGCGGGCCAGAGUAACCGCAACCCAGGAGCAAGCUCCCUGCUGAUCUGCCGGGCGGCCCGGCCCUACUCCGGCUCAGCUCCCUGGAGCCGCCCCCAGCUGGCUCGGACCAGGACCGGCCCUGCAGGAGGGCGAGGGCGUCCUUUGGAAGCGGUGCCCGCUCUCGCUGCCGCCCUCUGACCCUGGGCGCCCGGACCUCUGGCUCCUGGGCCUGCCGGACCUCAGCGAUAGGCGAGGGCUGCGCCCGGUGCCUGCGGCUCCCUCAGCGCCGUGGACCCCCGCGGCCUGCCGGCCCUCCUUACCUCACUGAGGCGGGAGAAUCGCUUGAACCCGGGAGGCAGAGGUUGCGGUGAGCCGAGACGCGCCAUUGCACUCCAGCCUGGGCAACAAGAGAGGCCUGGCGGCCCCGCUAGCGGCACCUCCCCCGCAUCCGAAACGCUCAGCUCCUCCCAGGAGCACCCGCGGCCUUCGCUUCCCAGGCCCCAGCUGUGACCCGCAGGAAGGCGGGCUCGGCGACCCCGGAACGUAGAGGUGUCUGGGAAGUUAGCUGUUCCCGGAGUACGGUGGGAGGGGCCCAGGGUAGAAAAUGACAGUUCAAGUGCCUUAAAAUUAAGAAUUUAGGCGUUGUUUAAAAAACGAUAAAUGGAGUGAAAAAAUCAAGCCACACCGUAAAAGAAGAUAUUUGCAGCAAGUGAUAAAGGAUUAAUAUCCAGAAUAUAUAAAGACUGUUACUGAAUCAAUGUGAAAGAGAAAAACACCUAAAGCAAAGACAUCUAAAGCCAAGACAUCUAAAGCCGUCAUUAGGCACUUCAAAGAGGAACCAUGAACGACCAAAAUCAAGUGAGUAGGUGACCAGUUCCCAUUAGUAAUUAGGAAAUCGCAAAUUAAGACCACAAAGAGGGUAGUGAGGGUGGCUCACACCUCUCAUCUCAGCGUUUGGGAGUCCAAGGCCAGAGGAUCCCUUGAGGCCAGGAGUUGGAGACUAGUCUGGGAAACAUAGCAAGACCCUGUCUCUACAAAAAAUAAAAAUAAAUAAAAAAGUAAAUCACAAGGAGAUGACUAACCACCAGGCAAAAAUGUUAAAGUAUGCUAAUAUCAACUGUCAAGAGGAAUAUGAAGCAAGAUAGCUCAAAUACGCUUUUGAAGGAAACAUACCAGGCUUCAUUCAUUCCGAAAUGCCCCUUAUUUAAGAUACUCCGUUAUAUUAAAUACAAUUCCAAAACAAAAAAAUCAAAUAACAAAAAACCAAACUAACCCAAUACUUUUUAUCACUGGUAAUUUGUAUGUUACACAUAUUGAAGGAUAUGUUUUAGAUUCAUUAGAGAAGGAUUUUUAAUCGUAUAUCACUCUUGUGCAUACAAAAUAAAAUUAAGAUGUUUCUUA